rnacentral:snRNA from 1 species
UUACUUAUCGCACCCGGAGACCCGCGAUCAGGAAGGCGGGCGCUCCCUGAGGACAGCUCAUGCUACCAUUGACCGUAUGGGUGAGCCUCAGCGUUAUCCGUCUCCAGGCGGGGUGCUAAUUUUUGAUAGCUGGGAUGUCGCGAGAACGUGACGUCCCAA